rnacentral:rRNA from 2 species
CACCGCGGUUAUACGAGAGGCCCAAGUUGACAGACCGCGGCGUAAAGCGUGGUUAAGGAAAAACAAAAACUAAAGCCGAACGACCUCAAGGCUGUUAUACGCUUCCGAAGGUACGAAGCUCAAUCACGAAAGUGGCUUUAAUCCACACCUGACUCCACGAAAGCUGAGAAA